GUGCUUGCUUCGGCAGCACAUAUACUGAAAUUGGAACGAUACAGAGAAGAUUAGCAUGGCCCCUGCACAAAGUAUCUUUUUAUAAUACACUGGAGUAAAAGAAAUGCUU
ensembl:snRNA U6 U6 spliceosomal RNA